rnacentral:rRNA from 1 species
UUGUUCCUACGGGGCGCAGCAGUGGGGAAUAUUGCACAAUGGGGGAAACCCUGAUGCAGCGACGCCGCGUGAGUGAAGAAGUAUCUCGGUACGUAAAGCUCUAUCAGCAGGGAAGAAAAAAAGUCUUUGGCUUUGGACGGUACCUGACUAAGAAGCCCCGGCUAACCACGUGCCAGCAGCCGCGGAAAUACGUAGGGGGCAAGCGUUAUCCGGAUUUACUGGGUGUAAAGGGAGCGUAGACGGCAAUGAAAGUCUGG